rnacentral:rRNA from 1 species
AGAGUUUGAUCAUGGCUCAGAUUGAACGCUGGCGGCAGGCCUAACACAUGCAAGUCGAACGGUAACAGGAAGCAGCUUGCUGCUUCGCUGACGAGUGGCGGACGGGUGAGUAAUGUCUGGGAAGCUGCCUGAUGGAGGGGGAUAACUACUGGAAACGGUAGCUAAUACCGCAUAAUGUCGCAAGACCAAAGAGGGGACGGCCUCUUGCCAUCGGAUGUGCCCAGAUGGGAUUAGCUUGUUGGUGGGGUAACGGCUCACCAAGGCGACGAUCCCUAGCUGGUCUGAGAGGAUGACCAGCCACACUGGAACUGAGACACGGUCCAGACUCCUACGGGAGGCAGCAGUGGGGAAUAUUGCACAAUGGGCGCAAGCCUGACGCAGCCAUGCCGCGUGUAUGAAGAAGGCCUUCGGGUUGUAAAGUCUUUCAGCGGGGAGGAAGGGAGUAAAGUUAAUACCUUUGCUCAUGACGUUACCCGCAGAAGAAGCACCGGCUAACUCCGUGCCAGCAGCCGCGGUAAUACGGAGGGUGCAAGCGUUAAUCGGAAUUACUGGGCGUAAAGCGCACGCAGGCGGUUUGUUAAGUCAGAUGUGAAAUCCCCGGGCUCAACCUGGGAACUGCAUCUGAUACUGGCAAGCUGAGUCUCGUAGAGGGGGGUAGAAUUCCAGGUGUAGCGGUGAAAUGCGUAGAGAUCUGGAGGAAUACCGGUGGCGAAGGCGGCCCCCUGGACGAAGACUGACGCUCAAGUGCGAAAGCGUGGGGAGCAACAGGAUUAGAUACCCUGGUAGUCCACGCCGUAAACGAUGUCAACUUGGAGGUUGUGCCCUUGAGCGUGCUUCCGGAGCUAACGCGUUAGCGACGCCUGGGGAGUACGGCGCAGGUUAAACUCAAUGAAUUGACG